GCUUUGAAAAUGUUAGCUGCAGACUCUCCCUGUAUUCCACCCACUCUGCUUUUGAGUCCCUUUUCUGCUGUAGGUGCUACUGAGGGACAAGCACUAGACCAAAGAAAAAUUCGUCUUCACUAAGAAGUUGCCUUUCAUUAAUGCCCUGUAUAAGAAGACUUCCUUGCUGCCAACUCCAUCUAACAUUUCUGAAGAAAACAGUAUGUUUAUUGUCUAUCAAACAUCAAACAGUCCAGUGGGAGAUGCAGCAGAAGGCCUGCUCCGGUGCCUGAACAUAGUCAGAGCCUGGAUGAAGAAAAACAGGCUGAGACUCAACCCAGACAAGAUGGAAUGGCUGUCAAUUCAGAAGUAUAUCCUUCUUAUUCCAGGAUUGUAUCACAUUUGACUGAUGAUGUGUUCUGCUUUCCCAAAGAGAGCAGUUUCAUAACUUGGGGGUUCUUCUGGUUUCACAGCUCCUGCACAAAGAGUAGGUGGAAGCUGUGGCCAAGGAAGCAUUUGCCAGUGUCGGCUGACAUGUCAGUUGUGGUUUUACCUGGAACAGGAUGUCCUGAGGACAGUCCCUCAUGCCCUUUUCAUCUCCCAAUUAGAUUACUAUAAUUCGCUUUUCACAUUAUGCAAAGACCUGACUCUCCUGAGAAAUCGACAAUGCUGGGAAAGGUGGAAGGAAAAGAAAGAGGAUGGUCAGAAGCAAGAUUGACUGGCUCAGUUAGAGUGGUAAUGAGUGCCUGUUUGGAAGAUCUGAAGAACCAGACUGAGGACAGAUUUUCCUGGAGAAAAUCUGUCUUUCUGGUUGCUAAGGGUCAACACUGACUUGACAGCACAUAAUCUAUCAAUCGAUUUGCCUCUGUGGGAUGACCAUGAUCACUUGGUAAUUCAUUAACAUUUACAGAAAUACGCUCUUUAGAAAAAAGUCAUUCCUCUAUCUUUAGUUGUUUAAAAACUUUCCAUGGUCUCUAUCACCCGAGGCCACUUCUUGCUCUCUUCUUUUUUCCCAUGAAUGACUUAUCCUGACCCAUUUGUGUUAUGGAGAUUUGUAUUCCUA